rnacentral:rRNA from 1 species
GGUUCAUUCAAAUUUCUGCCCUAUCAACUUUCGAUGGUAGGAUAGUGGCCUACCAUGGUUUCAACGGGUAACGGGGAAUUAGGGUUCUAUUCCGGAGAGGGAGCCUGAGAAACGGCUACCACAUCCAAGGAAGGCAGCAGGCGCGCAAAUUACCCAAUCCCGACCGGGGAGGUAGUGACAAUAAAUACUGAUACAGGGCCAUUUUUGGUCUUGUAAUUGGAAUGAGUACAAUUUAAAUACCAUAACGAGGAACAAUUGGAGGGCAAGUCUGGUGCCAGCAGCCGCGGUAAUUCCAGCUCCAAUAGCGUAUAUUAAAGUUGUUGCAGUUAAAAAGCUCGUAGUUG